GACGAACGCUGGCGGCGUGCUUAACACAUGCAAGUCGAACGGAAAGGCCCUGCUUUUGUGGGGUGCUCGAGUGGCGAACGGGUGAGUAACACGUGAGUAACCUGCCCUUGACUUUGGGAUAACUUCAGGAAACUGGGGCUAAUACCGGAUAGGAGCUCCUGCUGCAUGGUGGGGGUUGGAAAGUUUCGGCGGUUGGGGAUGGACUCGCGGCUUAUCAGCUUGUUGGUGGGGUAGUGGCUUACCAAGGCUUUGACGGGUAGCCGGCCUGAGAGGGUGACCGGCCACAGUGGGACUGAGAUACGACCCAGACUCCUACGGGAGGCAGCAGUGGGGAAUAUUGCACAAUGGGCGGAAGCCUGAUGCAGCAACGCCGCGUGCGGGAUGACGGCCUUCGGGUUGUAAACCGCUUUCGCCUGUGACGAAGCGUGAGUGACGGUAAUGGGUAAAGAAGCACCGGCUAACUACGUG
rnacentral:rRNA from 1 species